UACGUAGGGUGCAAGCGUUGUCCGGAAUUAUUGGGCGUAAAGAGCUCGUAGGCGGUUCGUCGCGUCGGCUGUGAAAACCCGGAGCUCAACUCCGGGCCUGCAGUCGAUACGGGCGGACUUGAGUGUUGCAGGGGAGACUGGAAUUCCUGGUGUAGCGGUGAAAUGCGCAGACAUCAGGAGGAACACCGGUGGCGAAGGCGGUUCUCUGGGCAUGUCCUGACGCUGAGGAGCGAAAGUGUGGGGAGCGAACAGG
rnacentral:rRNA from 1 species